GACAUUUAAAAUCCUUAAAAGAAAAUAGGGGGCAGGAGUUACAAUGAACUGGGACUGAUGGUGCCAUAAGACAUUUUUUAAUUUUGCCUAUAUGUUCCAAAAUCCUAACCUUGAGAACCUUUUUUGUGCAACCUACAUAUUGUUUGCCACACGGACACUGCAGCAAAUAAACCACAAAGUCCAUGUGGUAUCCUAUGUCAGAUUUAAUUUGAAAUGUAUCGCCUAUUACGAAACUAGAAAAAUGGUUCGUUUUUUUUCAGAAGGAUAGUGGAGAUUUCUUUGCAAGAAUUGCAUCCUCUAAACAUACAGGUAUUGUCCCUAAUAGCAUGGGUGUUGGUUUUUAUAACAUAACUGGGGGCUAACAUAUUUUUUAAAUUACGAUUAUUUUUUGUAAAUAAGUGUGGGACGUCUAGGUAGAUAAGCUCAUAUGACUGGGUCCUGCAAAAAUAUAGGCCAAUGUUUUGAUAGACCUUUUUUUUUUUUUACAUGAUCCAGAUAAUACUG